GGUUGGAGAGUUGGCUCAGCCGUUAAGAGCACUGACUGCUCUUCAGAAGGUCCUGAGUUCAAAUCGCAGCAACCA
rnacentral:tRNA from 1 species